AGGCGCUGCCGCGGGCACCCCCGCGCCGCCUGAGGACCCGCCGGGAGGGCGGGCGGGGCGGGCGGAGGCGGCUUCAGCCUCAGCGCCGGGGCCGCCUGUGCCGGGCGGGCGCCUCCGAGGUCAAAAGUGAAAAAUGUCUUAUUUUUACAACUGAUCAUAGACAGGAUGUUGCAAAGGCAUGUCGUGACGGAGCCGCGAGAGGCUGCCGCUUCCACACGCCGCCGGCGGAGCUCUUCGGCCGCCACGAGCCCGGUGCUCGGGACGUCUUCGCAUCCGGCUGCGCGAAUGUGUGCGGAAUCCACAUGACCGCGGGCUGAGGGAGGAAGACGCGGCGGAAAGGAGCAGCGUGUGGGCUCGCCGCUCGCUGGGGCAGCCCCCCUGGAUGCUUGCGCUCCCCGCUCGCGGACGCGGUGUCAGGCGCGCACGGGAGAAGAGGCUCGGUUAUUCUCGCCGGUGCUGAGUUCUUGCCGUGGCCGCCGUGCAGAAAGAAGCACUUUUCUCCGCGUUUGCUGGUCCGCACCGAGGCAGCGGGAAUAUGCUCAUGAAGGAGUACCGGAUCUGCAUGCCUUUGACAGUCGAAGAGAUUAAAAAAAAAAAUUAGGAAGCUUGAUCCUUGGCAGGCAUUUGGUCAUGCAACUGAACCUUUAGUCAUUCCGGCUCUCCGGGCGACAAGGAGGUCCUCUGUGGGAGACGCGGGGUUGUCAAGGCUUUGAGUGCAAGUUAUGGCUCAUGGAAAAAAAAAACGGUGUUCUUAAGAAAGCAGCCUUAUCAAAUUAAGGCAGUGUGCAGAAGGCUUGGUUCUGCCUUGCGUGCGCUCUUUCUAGCACAGAAAGCGAAGUGACCUUCAAGGAGGCAGCUGCGGUCAUCUGAUUCUGAGAACCGCGCUGCUGCCAGCGCAGCCCAGGAAGUUUUCUGAGUCGUGCUUAGGAGGCCACCAAGAGGCCAUCGGAUCCGUGGUGCCUGUGAUCGUCCUUUUUCUCCCUGACAUAUAUUCUACAUAAAAACACUGAGGAAGGUAGAGGACUGAUAUAAGAGCCAGCUCUGCCAGUUUUGCAUCAUUUGGAGGGAAUUAUUUAGCACUUAUAUUCCAUAUACGUGGAAUUCUCUGGGGUUCAUUAAGGCAGAUGAUGUAGGAAAAACUUGCAAAGCAAAAUUCAAGGCUGAAACUCUGACUUCACUUCCUCUCUUCUCCGCUUUAUAAUCCUGGUGCCGUGAGAGCAGUUUGUGUCUGUUCUCAGCCGCUCGGAAGGAGCUGGGCAGCUGGAGUGCUCCGAGCUGUGAGAGGAGCCCCGACCCUUCGCUGGAUUAAAUUGAAUUAAGCACACUGCCUGCUCUUUUGCAGGGCUCGCUUGGUUGUCUGAGCUACGCUUCUGCGUUCUGUGUUGAUGGUCACUGUGUGUUUUUAGAAAUUAUUGAAAGAAUACGAAAAUAAAACAAGAAAUCAGUCAUGCUUCCCACAUGCCGUGUGUUUAACAUCACUAAGUUCCAUGGGAAAAUGGCAUGGAAACACAAUAUUGUCAUCCAGCAGCUUUGAGUGUGAGUCUUACCUCUCUCCUUUCCCUAUGUGACCUUUGUUUUGCAAUGCUAAGUUCUUUUUUGUAUCACACUUAGUUCCAGAUCUCACUUUAAACAUCUUAAGUGCUUUAAAAUAUGAUUUACCGAUUUUACAAUUUAGAGAAAUAAAUUACAGUCUAAGCGUU